rnacentral:misc_RNA from 1 species
AUGACCCACAGAAGAUACUUGGGGUAAGUCAAUGAUAUGGUCUAUGUUUCCUUAUGAAUGGUCAGGAAAGCAUGCCUUUGUCCUUUAUUCCCAACACGUGACUCUUUAGGGAAGGAACCUUUCUUAACUAUUUUUGGAUUUUGUGGAAAGCAAUGAAUAGGGGGCCUUUUGAGAGGGAAGAUAUGUCUCUCUUGGCUCAGAAGUCUGAUGGCUGAAUAUGUUGAAAUUUAUGUUUAGUAGGCAGCAAUUUGUUGGAUACACUAGUUGUCAUCAUGGUCUUUAAUAA